rnacentral:rRNA from 1 species
UUUUAUUUGAGAGUUUGAUCCUGGCUCAGGAUGAACGCUGGCGGCGUGCCUAACACAUGCAAGUUGAGCGAUUUACUUCGGUAAAGAGCGGCGGACGGGUGAGUAACGCGUGGGUAACCUACCCUGUACACACGGAUAACAUACCGAAAGGUAUGCUAAUACGGGAUAAUAUAUUUGAGAGGCAUCUCUUGAAUAUCAAAGGUGAGCCAGUACAGGAUGGACCCGCGUCUGAUUAGCUAGUUGGUAAGGUAACGGCUUACCAAGGCGACGAUCAGUAGCCGACCUGAGAGGGUGAUCGGCCACAUUGGAACUGAGACACGGUCCAAACUCCUACGGGAGGCAGCAGUGGGGAAUAUUG